AGGAUCCUAGAUGCCAUAUACUAAAACUAAAAUGCUACAGGGAAAAUUAGCAUGGCUUCUGCACAAGGGUGACUUGCAAAUAAAUGAGACAUUCCUGAUUUCU
rfam:Dipodomys ordii contig_64297, whole genome shotgun sequence.